AAUGCUCGCNAGAGUGAACUAGCUAACUGAAAUCACAGGAUCCACUACGUGUGGUGAAUGUUAUAACGUAAGGGAAAAAAAUGAUAUUACCUUACUAUUAGUGUUGUCCAAAACUGGUGCCAGAAGACUCGGUAAGGCCAGAGACGCAAACGUUAGUCGUCCUAAUCAGGCGUAAAGGGUAAGUAGGCUGCUUUAAAAGUUUAAUAUAAUAUUUUAAUAGCUCUGUUUAAAACAAAUAAAUAUCAUUUAUUUAAACAGUAAAAUAUAAAUGAAUUAAAGCUAGGAUCAAAUUGAGGAUAAUUUAAAUAAUACUUAGUGUAGGGUUUACAUCUGGUGAUACUAAGGGGAGUACUAACGGUGAAAGCUUUUUAUCUAGAAAUGAUUGACGCUGAGGAACGAAGGUGAGAAUAGGAAAUAGGAUUAGAUACCCAGAUACCUCUCACAGUCAACGAUGAAUGGUGGUUGUUAGUUAGUUUUAUUUAACUGAUAACGAUGUUAACACGAUAACCAUUCCGCCUUGCGAGUACGGUUGCAAAACUGAAACCAAAAAAAUUAGUCGGUCUCGAAGCAAACGAAGUGAAGCAUGUUAUUUAAU
rnacentral:rRNA from 1 species